rnacentral:tRNA from 1 species
UCAGUGGCCAACAGAUCGCCAGAUCGUUGAGCUGCAUUGGCGGGAUUUCGCCGUCUUCGUUUCUCUUUCUUCGCGGACGAACACGCGCUGGGCCUGCAACGGCAGGAUCCAGGGUCCUUAACGGGAUGUGCGUUAGGGGCUUGUAGCUCAGUUGGUUAGAGCGCGCGCUUGAUAAGCGUGAGGUCGGAAGUUCAAGUCUUCCCAGGCCCACCACUUUCAUCGAGUGAGCAUUCGUCUUCUGGUUACGGGGCCAUAGCUCAGCUGGGAGAGCGCGUGCUUUGCAAGCAUGAGGUCGUCGGUUCGAUCCCGUCUGGCUCCACCAGAUGGUUUGAUCACCGAGAUCUUGACCGUCGUCCGCGAAACAUCACUUCGCAUCCUGCUAGUCUGGAUAGACAGCAGUUUGCGUGUUUUCUGACAUCGUAAAGAGGAGAUCGAUCCGAGUUGGGUCGUGCAGCAUAUCGUUGCGCGAGCCUUCAUUAUCUCCGGAUCAUUUCGGCGCUCGCUU